ensembl:lncRNA
UCUCUCUACCUUCCUUCUCUUUUCUCCUGUCCUCCUCUCCCCCAACUAGUUUCUCUCGUCCUCCCGACCGAAGCCCUUGUUGUCUGUGUGCUCUGGGUGCUGGGGGUGCUGGGUUGUAGCUCUGACAAAUUCGAAGAUACAAAAAACGAAAAGCUCAGUAAGUACCUGGACUGACUGAACCAGGGAGACGGGAACACAAUGAACUUCCGCAAAAGGACCACUCCUCUUCUUCCCCAGACAAAAGGCCCUGACGUGGAGAAAGACAAAAAGAAGAUAUUAUGUAUAUCAAACACCCCCAAAAUACAAUGAUGUCAUUUUUCUGAAAGCAACCAACGGAAGAGGAGAAAAGGUUCUUCCAACGAAAAUCUCCAAACUGAAGCAAAGAGCAUGUUUCCUAAGCUCUGCUGUGUGUGUGUACAGUAUGGAAGUUACUCUGUGCUUACGUCUGGGUGUCUAUGUACGUGGUUAUAUAUAUACACUUCAUGCUGUUCUGCACUGUAGAGACCUUAAAUAAGCCAUUCAUUCACAUGUGCGGAACGUGUGACGUGUGCGUGCGUUUGCAUUUACAGGGGUGUGUGUGUGUGUUCAGUGUGUUCAUCAACAAACUGUUCCGAACUGAGAUAUUAUCUUCUCUUUUCUCUUUCUCCUCAUCUUGCGCUCUUCCUGCUCUUCUUACUGCCAUUGAUACCCCAGUCUCCUCCUCCUCCUUCCCCUGCUCCUCCUCCUCCUUCCCCAGCUCCUUCUCCUCCUCCUCCUUCCCCAGCUCCUUCUCCUCCUCCUCCUUCCCCUAUUCCUCCUCCUCCUCCUUCCCCUAUUCCUCCUCCUCCUCCUUCCCCUAUUCCUCCUCCUCUUCCUCCACCUCCUCCUCCUGCUCCACCUCCUCCUCCUGCUCCUCCUCCUCCUCCCCCUGCUCCUCCUCCCUCUCCUCCUCCUCCUGCUCCUCCUCCCUCUCCUCCUCCUCCUGCUCCUCUACCGCCCUGCCUUCUGAACCCAGGGCCGGGGACUUUCUCUCGGCACUUUUGGACAAAUGUAAUAACAAUAAUAUGGAUGGCGUUGAGUUGAUGUGAUGAUGAUUCGGUCGUGGUGUAAACGAAGGGAGGAGUUCCUGAAACGGCAGAGCAUCCGUUGGAGGGAUGGGGGGUGAGGCUGGGUCUUGUUUGGGGGGUCAGGUCGAGACUUGGUUUGGUCUGGGGACCCCCUGGGUGAGGCUUGGUCUGCUCUGGGUGGUCCCAGGAUGAGGCUUGUGUGUGCGUUGUGUGGCUGCUGGUGUGUCAAUGUAUGUGUGUCAAGUCAAGUCCUCCAUUUGUGUAGCCAUUAAUCUCAGUCAGUCUCAGAGGGCUUCACAGGCCAGGAUCGCACCAACGUGUGUGUGUGCUUGCAUGCGUGCGUGCGUGCAUGUGUUUGUGUGUGGUGUUAGCAGCUAACAGAUACCUUGACAACAAGCGACGUGGACUAGCUUUCACCACAGCAUUACUGACACACAAUCCCAGCUGCGCUCAGGCUAAACAGAGCUAGUCCUGCUUGUUAAAUGUUAGCCCCUGACUGAGCGGCUGAGCCUGAGACAUGACCUUGUUCUGUUGUUAGAACUGUUGUGCUUUGCUUGUCUUGUUUUAAUUAGUGGAGGAGUGCGGUUCACCCACUGGAGUGAUCGUCUCGUUCCCUGAUCUCCUGGGGACACAGGGUAUGCAGUUGCUUUGAAUGUCAGGCGCAGUGAGCUCAGCUAGCCAUGUCCGUACCCAUGGAUACAACAGCCAUAUAAUACACCAACACGAAUACUGUAAGCCAUAAAGAACGACCUGUGUAAAUGAAGAGACGUGCUAAGCCGGAGGUGGAGAAGUUCUUAAUGACCAGUUCAUACAGGCAUCUAUUUAUAAUAUUUAUAUUGCGUAUUUUGAUUGUACAUUUGAUUUACCUCCACUCAAAGUAAGUGUUCACCCUGAACAUGACUAGCUGCGCAAACGGAGAGCAAAUGUUUUUGCAUGUGCACUGUCGUCGACCGUCACUCUAAACAGACAUGUUCCCUUCCAUUGCUGAUCAUGUGCAUGACAUAAGUCCCAAAAGGUGUGUCAUUAGAGCGUCAUUAAUUCAUCGUCAUCAUUCGUGUCGUCCUUACCUGCCAGAGUUUCUGUGUACCCUGACAUCCGUUGCCGAGACAACGCAGAUAUAAAUAAAUAAUCAAUCUAUUGCCAGUUGGGGAGACAUCGGGACAAGAGUUCGUGGUUCCCUAAGGGCGGUGCAGACAGGCCGUGUGCAGUCGCUCUCUCACUAUCCCCAUGUGACUCGGUUGCCAGGCGCUGCGUCUCGGUUUGUUGGUGCUGAAGCUGCUCUUCUCCAGCAUCCUUCAGAACAAUUGGCCAGGCGUGGAACAUGACCCACUAUAUUUUGAAAGCCUCUGUCUCGUGUGUCGUUGCAAAUUACGUCCCCAUUAGGAAUCCGAGAAGAGGGGGUAUAUUUCUGGCCAUGCUUGUACCUGGGGGUGCUGCUGGUCAUCCUAUUUACGUCUGCUACGAGCAGAGCAACGUGCCGGGGGGAUCGUUAGUUAUUUGGCCAUGUAGAAGGGCUCUGCUUCAAUAUUGAUGUGCUCUGUUAGUGUAGUUCUAUAGUCUGUGUCCUCAUAGCUAUAGUCAUCGUCACUAUGUGUGUGGCUGUCCCCGGCAUAGAUGGAAAAGAGCAGGUCAGUGUGUGCCGGCCCGCCGCGGACGACAACAUAACGCACCGUUUCAGCCGCUUAGCCAAAAUAAUAGGCUUGUUGGGGGACGGUUGUACCAUCAGCGGGAAGUGUUUUAUUAUCGGUAACCAGGCCCCGAUUGGGUUUUGUGAUCUAAAAAGGAUGAACGGAGCCUGGAACUCUUGCUGUUUGUGAGAGGAAAUAAGAGAGCACAUCUCUGCGGUAGAGUCUCUUGUUAAUAAUAGAGCACUUUUCUGGACAAACGAUCCACAGCCAUGCCUUCAGCUCCAGCUACACUGGCAUUUACUUUUGUAUUUUAUUAUAGUCAUAUCGUACAAAGAUAAAAUGGAGGUAUAUACUCUCAUUUUGUUUAAUUUAUUAUCGAACUAAAACAUUUGCUGCUAAUCCCGUAAGUGAAGCUACUACUGCCAAGUCCCGGGCUGAUUGGUAAAUGACUUGAGGAAUACACAUUCAAGGUCAUGGAGAUUUCUUGCGGAAGAUGCCAUAAAAGCAGCUUUGGCUUGAAUAACUUGGCUAUCUGUUGUCUUGGCUAUUUCAGUGGUCUUCUUCAGAGUAAACUUUAUUCUCUUCCAAGCCCAAGGCAAAGUAUUCAAGGUGACCUCAUUGUGGAAUACCUAGGUUGCUACUGAUGUUUGAACAACUUUGUGCAUCAAAGGCACUCAUGGCAGGUAAGUGACAAUGAGCAGCGAGCACAGAAGGCACAAAAGGAGCACUUCUGAGUGCACCUGUCCAGGCCUUCUCUUUACUUGAUUUGUUUGGCACACUCUCUGCAUCCAAUAUCCAAAGCUCUUGGCAGCGUGACAACCCACUACCACUUAAAGCAUCCAGCCUAUUCAUCUCAGCUCCUCUGUGUGUAAACGUCUCUCAAGUUCUCUGCGUGGGACUCUCUGCGUCAACAUGAAGGUGUAGAUGAUGAUACUUGUGAUACUUAAAGCCUAGUCCGUAGUGCAACACCACCACCGGGCACAAUGUUGUGGACAGGUCUCUACAGAGCACCGCAUAAAGUCCUAUUUAAAACUUUCCCUUCUCUGAAGUGCAAAACCGUCGGGCGGAGCUCGAGUGUGUGUGGCCAAGACAGAUGGUUAGCCUGGAGAGGGCAGGACAAGUCCUUCCACCUGGACUCCCACCUCCUCUGUGGUCAUUAUUCACAACGUUGCUCCUCUCUGAAUUGAUCAGUGUCACGGCUGGGCCCCUGCUUUGCUCGGCGCCCCGGCUCCGCCCGGCCCCCUAGAACCACAAGCCACUCUGGCAGGAGGGGUCUCACCUUGUUACCAUGGCGUUGUCAAAUACGAUUUACCCUUUUCAUUCUGUCUGAGAGUCGGUCUUAAGUCCGUCGGUCGCCCGUGUUUAUGUUGUGGCACGCGCAGCACAUGGACACAGACACCCAGGACAGACUCCCAGAGAGAAGGAAAAGGGUAACGCAUAUUUGACAUCAUCGGUGUCCCAUACGCGUUACCCUUUUAUUCUCUCUGGGAGACUGUCCUAAGUCUCUUUGUCCAUGGGUUGGCCUUGCAUAUGUUUCAGCAGCUGUUUCUCUUUUUUCAUCGGAUGAUGUUGUCUGAAGGCCUGUUGUGCCCUGACCAAUCAGACGCAGCCUCCCCUCCAGCUCGCCGUUUCAAUUGUUUUAAGCAUUUGGUGAAAGCCGAAUGUGACUUCUCCCAAUCAGGGUUUGAGUAAGAAUUAUUUAUGAAUGGUAAGAAACAUGAAUAUUAAAAACAAUAAUGAGUACUAUAUAUGUAUAAUUGAUUUAUUUUUUAACAUUUGACUGUUGGUCUAUUUGUAUGUAUGUGCUUGGUGUUCUCGUGCUUCUUGGAGUUUAUUUAUUUACAAACCGAAAAGACAAAAAACAAAACAAAAAACAAAAGAGAAAAAUCCUUAUUCUGUUUUUGAGAAUUUUGUGUAAAUAUUGUUGUUUAAAAAAAGGUUAAUAUUUGUUGUACGCUGGGUUUUCAUUUGUCCACUUGAAGUGAUGAAGAAAAGCUUCAUGAUAACGUUAGUUGAUGAUGCUGGUCCUAUAUCUCCGCCCUUCUUGACUAAGGGCUCUUGACGCCCCGCUGUAUUUUGGUUGGGAGGUUCUGCAAGUCGGGCUGAAGGACGACUAAUGGGAAGGAGUGAUACCCAAUGACAUGCCAAGACUGCUAUAGCAACGUGGACACAUCCAAAAAAAACUCAUGCCCCUCACCCCCAUAACACAGACCCCCUGAGGUACACCAAGGGCUACGCAGCCUGCAUUACAGGAUUGUGGAGGAUCUGUUCCGUUGCAUAACACUUGAGAUGUACCACAGCGCUGUGUGUACGGUGUGCUGCUGUGUGUAGCAGAGAACAGGAAGCAUCCUGGUGGAAUGAUUCUGUCUGCGUUGCCUGGCUCUCCAUCACAAACCCCCGCUCAGCUCAUAGGCCCUUGGGAUUUACUGUAAUGCUAUUGUGUUAGCAUUGGAUUUGGCCAACACCCUAAUGAUGCCUUGCUCAUUGCAUUUGGCCACAUUAUUGCAGUAGUGCUGGUAAAGCCAGGGAUACGAUGCUAGGGAGGAGUGGGUGCCGGCGUUUUGACCCUGUAGCAGCAGAAAGCACAUGCAAUGCGGGACUGAGGCACUCACUUCUGGAGGCAGAGAUUACCAAGCACAAACUCAGAGUCUUUAGCUCGUGUGUGUGUACAUGCACACUUCGCUAACCACCCUGGUAAUCAUUUUUACUUCUUUUUUUACACCAGACUUACAUUGUCCUGGCCAAGCCUGUAGACACCAGAACAUGGCCAGGACUUUAGGCUACGUCUUUCACCGCAGGUAUAUCUGUACCCAAGUUCAAAUCUCCAUAUGCCUUAGCCCCGUCUGUCUGGCACUCGGCCUCUGUGCGGGGAGAAGUUGCUCGUCAAUGUCAGGCUACUUUUAGUCCUCUACCAAGCGUGCACAGACUAGACUAGGACACAGCCAUGAGACUGCACCCUGCGCUACCCUGCAGCAGUCUGCAGGAUGUGGCCUUUUCCUUAUUGGUCACUGCAUCCCUCUGAGGGAGGUUUUGCACGUUAGCAAACACACACACACACGCACGCACACGAAUACACUCACAAGUGCUCACUCUCUCCCACACACACGUGCACAUGCACACACACAAACACACGGACAUGAAUUGACAUGCAAGAAACAAAACCCUUUCUUAAAGGCCAAACUGCUUUUGAAAACAUUCACAAUGGCGAAUGAGACAGCGUUGUAGGGAAACAACCUAAAGCUCCACAGCGAUCAAUAAAGCAGCAGUAUCUCGCUUUUAUAACUUUCGACGUUCCUAGUUAAUAUGAGCAAGAAAUGCAAUAGCCGGCCGCUCCAGGGCUUCCUGGGGUGGCGGCGUGGCCAUGUCUUGGAUGUGGCGGGUACCACUCCUUCUGUUCGGCCUGACUUCCCUCCCAGCUUGCCAUAGCUCACCUCUUCAACAAAGAGUGCUCUGACUUUAAACACACCAUUGAGAGGUGUACAAUCGAACCUAUGAUUUCAUGUUUAUUUAUGUUUUUUUUGCCAACUUUGUAUAGUGUAUAAAUAUCUCUAAUUAUAUGACAAAAUGACAGUACUGUAUAGAUUUUAGCUGCCUAGUAAGGUUAAUAGUAUAUACUUGGUAGACUAAAGGGAAACGCGUAGAGCCGUCCAAAAGCCAGUUAUUGCGAAUAUGCUUUCUGUAAACUGCGGUGUCACUGGGUCUUUUUGUAUAAUUUCUGCUUUAGUUUUAUUUUUUUAUGCCCAGUGUGAACCAAAGGGUGUGUAUAUCUUUCUGUUAUCUGUUGGUUUGUUGAUCGUUAUUUUGUUAUUUUCCUGACAACACACAGCGAGGCUCCGGCCACCAGGAGAGUGCAUUUGAACGCACAAUAGGACCCUGUGCAGUAGUUGUGCGUGUGUGUGUGCGUGUGUGUAAGGUCCAUUGUAGUAUUAGUGCUCUCUGUGCAGUGCCUCCUAGUUGUAUCAUGUGACUCAGAGCGAGUUAAGGUGUGUGUGAACAACGUUUGCAGAAACUGACAGAUGCCCUCUCUCUCUCUUUCUUUCAGUCGUCCUCUCUCUCUUUCUCUCUCUCUCUCUCUCUCUCUCUCUCUCUCUCUCUCUGUCUCCGUCUCUCUCCCCCAAUGUCCACUAUGCUCUUUCAUUAUAGUCUUGGAUUUCAUUCGUGCGAGUAUAGAUUUUCACUACAUUGGCCUCGUAGUUCAUUUACUCUUUCAUCGAGUUGUUCGCAGUCAUACCUGGCCUGGAGUUGGAUCAAUUAAUCAGUUAUCCAUGGUCUCUUGCCCCCGAACUCUCUCUCUCUCUCUUUGCUCAUUAGUAGUCCGGAAGGCGAUUUCCCACCAGGGAAAUAGGUCACUAUCGAAUAAGUUGGAUUUGUGCAGAGUUCCUGCCAUUUUGUUUCCCACUGAGCCAUGCGGGGACAGCACAAGAUGUUUUCAUCCUAACAACUCUCAAAAAGAAACCUUAGCGAAACAGAUGUGACCACAGCCUCCCUCCUCUCAGAGCCAACCCACAGAGAGGCAGGGCAGCUGUCAGCCCGUCGGGGAGGAACACGCUCCUCCACUGAGGGAUGCUUCGACGUGAAACACUGCUUAUGGUGGCCGGGGAGUCUGGGGCCCCCCCUUUAGCUAACCACGUGACCCUAGUAGGAGCGCAAGGAUAGCCUUAAUCAUGGUCCAACUACGUGUGUUGGGAAUGAAAUAUGAGCACUAAUCAUGCAAUAUUAUGAACCUCCUCUUCCCCCCCUGAUUCCUUGAUUCCUGUAUCUAUAGCUCCCGUGUGUUGUUUUGGUCGCCCUGUACAUACGCGUGUAGUACCGUUGACGUUGUUGUGUUGAGGACUAGGAACGGGUUCUUACUGGAUGGGGAGGGGGGCAUAGGUUUCCUGUCUCUCUCUCUCUCUCCCUGCUCUCCCUUCUUAUUUAUAACUUGAAACAUUCCAUUUAAUCUGAAGAGGAAGGUGGGAAACCCAGGGGUCUGAAGGCACAGCAACUUUCACCUGAGCCCUGAUCACGUCUCUCUCACUCUCUCUCCUCUCUCGCUCACUCUGCCGGUGGUCUCGUCUCUCUGACAGCAGCCCCUUCAAUCCGUGGAUGCCUCUCUUUGCUCCUCUGAAACCCCGCCCCCGUGAUGACCUCACAGGUGUGGCGAGAUCACCGCCCUUGUCUCCGCCCCUAAAUGAAGGCUGAUUGUUGUAGUUGGGAGUCAGAGGGCCGUGUCUUCGUGGGCACCCCCCCUUCACAGGAGAGCAGAGGGCCAGAGGGAUCCCCUUUGACCACGCCCCAUUGGCGACACCCGCUAACAAUUAGGGUUUUGCGUUACGUGUUUUGUUUUGGUUUUUGUGUUUGUUGCUUUUCUUUCCUCCAGCCUCUCCUAUUUUCUGGGCCGAGCGGACUGUGAUCUGGUUGAUUUUCUGGUCCUCCCCCAUCCUUCUGUGUUAUAAGGUGUGUUGGGAUGGCGGAGUUAUGGAGCUGAGCUCUGAUUUUGUUCUAUAAUAAAGAAUUGUUUUUACUAUGCCCGCCUGGAGUGGUUCUUCAGUCCUGGCACGUGAUUUACCGAGCAUGAAUAAGUGAUCAGGGGAGUGAUGCUGUUGGUGGAGUUAUUUCUGCUAAGCGUAAAAGUCUAAUUGCAUGCACACAUACAUACAUACAAUAUGGUAGCUGGGUGAC